rnacentral:rRNA from 1 species
UACGUAGGGGGCAAGCGUUGUCCGGAUUUAUUGGGCGUAAAGGGCGCGUAGGCGGCCACGCACGUCCGUUGUGAAAUCUCCCGGCUUAACUGGGAGGGUGCGGCGGAAACUGGAAUGCUAGAGGGUGGGAGAGGUAAGCGGAAUUCCUGGUGUAGCGGUGAAAUGCGUAGAUAUCAGGAGGAACACCUGUGGUGUAGACAGCUUACUGGACCACUUCUGCCGCUGAGACACGAAAGCGUGGGUAGCAAACAGG